GUGCCAGCCGCCGCGGUAAUACCGGCAGCCCGAGUGAUGGCCGAUCUUAUUGGGCCUAAAGCGUCCGUAGCUGGCCAGACAAGUCUGUUGGGAAAUCCACGUGCUCAACGCGUGGGCGUCCAGCGGAAACUGUCUGGCUUGGGGCCGGAGGACUCGAGGGGUACGUCCGGGGUAGGAGUGAAAUCCUGUAAUCCUGGACGGACCGCCGGUGGCGAAAGCGCCUCGGGAAGACGGACCCGACAGUGAGGGACGAAAGCGGGGAUCUCGAACCGGAUUAGAUACCCGGGUAGUC
rnacentral:rRNA from 1 species